rnacentral:rRNA from 1 species
UACGGGGGGAGCAAGCGUUGUUCGGAUUUACUGGGCGUGAAGGGCGCGUAGGCGGCCACCGCAAGUCGGUUGUGAAAUCUCCGGGCUUAACCCGGAAAGGUCAAUCGAUACUGCGGGGCUAGAGUGCAGAAGGGGCAACUGGAAUUCUCGGUGUAGCGGUGAAAUGCGUAGAUAUCGAGAGGAACACCUGCGGCGAAGGCGGGUUGCUGGGCUGACACUGACGCUGAAGCGCGAAAGCUAGGGGAGCGAACGGG